GGUCGGUGCUUCAGAGUAAAUCCACCCCAAGGAGAAAACCUGCUCCGUGUUUGGGAGGGCAUGAAUGAGCUGGGAAGUUAGUUGUGUCCCAAAAAAAACCCCCAGAAAAACCCCAAAAUUCUAACUGCGACCUUAUCCAUCCCAAAUAACCUAGGAUGGGAAUGCUGAAAGCACCUGCAGCGUGGCGAAAUCAUACUAAAAAAUGAGGGAUUUUGGGGGCUUGAGUGGGUUUGGGGGAAGGGGUGAUUUUCCUUUGCUUUUAGGAGAUGACCCUAAUUUGUUUGGGUCCCGAUUUUGCCUUUUCCUGGCUAAAGGGCAGCCUGGGAGCUGCCAGGCGCUCCCCUAGGUAGGGCAAGCACAGGUGAGUCACAGCUCCAGGGAUGGGGAUGCGGCAGCUGGAUGAACUUUGCUCCAGGAAGGUGAGAGGUAACAACCUGAUGCACCCACACCAGCCACUACCCCCCCCACCAAAAAAAAACCAAAAACCAACAACAACAAAAAAAAAUUUAAUUUUUCCAUUUUAACAUUUGGAAAAAGGGAACUUUUCAUGGCAACAGGAAAAAAAAAAUCCAGCAAAAAAUCCUUGUAUUUUGAUUAAAUUUCAGCAGUUUGAAGAUAUGAAAGGGUAAAACUGGCAGGAAAACUGCUUUUUGGAGGCUCGUCCCAAGUAGGGCCAGGGUGAGUCAGCUCCUCCCGCUCCCUUCCUAGCUGCAAACGCGCUGCCCGGCUCUGAUCCGGGAGCCUUUCGGCUCCAACUUCGCCAUUAAAGGCAACUUUGGGGGGGGAAAAAUAAUUAAAUAAAGGGAAAAGUCAAUUUUUAAGGGCAGCUUUGCCCAGGCAGCUCCUGCCAAACCCCACGUCGGUUUUUUAACUCCUUGCAGGAAAAAGCAUCUUUAUCAGGAAAUUAGGGACAAAUCCCCUCUUAUUUCCAUAAAAUAAACAUAUUAGAGCUCAGCUAACCCAAACUCCUAGUUUUAUCCCUAUUAAUUCCUCUGUGUUAUAGGAAAGACAGAUUUUAAAUAAAUUUAUAGUAUUUGUUUUCUUUUUAGCUGCUUCCUGCUUCCUCCCCAGCUCCAACACGGAAGCCAGGACACUCCUGGAGGAUCCGGGGGGGCGACAGGGGCCCCCAAACCCGCUGUCUUCGGCUUUACAACUCUAUUUUUAACCCUUUUUUUUUUUAUCCUCCAGCCUGGAAGGACUUCAAAUACAGCCCACCUCAUGGAUCAAGGGAAAGAAUAAUCAAUUUAAAAGCAAAAUAAUAAUAUUAAUAUAUUAAUAUAAAGAUAUUGAAAGAGUGGCCCAGCAGGGAAUUCUAAAUUUUUUCACUCCAGCAUGGAGGAUUUUGGGACGCUGCUGCCUCAUAAAAAAAAAAAAAAAGUGAAUUCAUAAUUCCUUCUAAAUAAUAUUAAAAAGUAUAUUCCAGGAGGGAAUUUCAAGUUUUUUAUAUUCUAGCAUGGAGGAUUUUGGGAUGCUGGCAGUCCCAUGGAGCACAAAAGAUCAAUAAUUCCUUAAAAAUCCAAAUAAUAGGUUUAAAAUGGGAUCCCAGGAGGGAAUUUUGGGAAAAUCCACAUGACAAAGACAACAUUAAAAUGAUCCAUGAGGAUUUAAGGAGCAGCCCAGGGGCCGCUCACGAGUGUUCCCCCCCGGGGAUGGUAGAGGGGAUGUGGGCAGCUGGUGCAGCCCCUUGCACACUCAUUUGCACUUUCCCAGGAACGAGGGCACACGGGUAACACGGCUGCAGCUACCUCCCAGCCCGGGAAAAGCUCACAUCCCCACUGAAAACCAGGAAAAAUCCACUCCAAACCCACAGGAGGGGACGCAAAGCCAGAGAACCUGGGGGUCACGCCAGCACUGUGGGGACCGGCUGGGAUUUGGGCUGAGGCAGAGAAUCGUGGGGGAUGGGGAGAAGCAUCGGAGUGGUGGAAUUCGACUUUGUAUUUAUUUUUCUUCCCUACUUAAAGGUCAUCCAGGGACGCAACACAAUCCCAGUGAGUUUUGCAACUGCGACCAGCACGGGAGACGUUUUUGCAUGGAACGAGCUGGAAAAAACACACGGAAUGUGCAACACUCCCCCCCCCCACCUCCAUCCUGGGUUAAUAAUAUUAAUUAUUAAGUGUAAAGGGGGUUGGGAAGGGGAGUUUGUCCCCCACCUCCCAACCGCCAACUGCUUCCAUGAAAAAUCCCCUUUUUUCCCAUGCAAAACACACUCUGGAUGGAAGUGUCACCCAUCAGUGCUUGGCAAACCAUCCCUGCGAUUAAUUACCUUCACAAAAAUUAAUCAUUUCUAACCCAAAUUCAUCCAAGGCGGGGGGUUACGGAGCUGGAAAAGCAGCGGGAACGCGACUCCGGCUCCAUUCAGGAAGCCGGGAGUUAAGUGCGUCGGAUUUCUCGGGUACGAGACCAAAUUUGCGUUUAAUUCCUGCCCCCAUCACCGCGCUGCCGGCCGGCACGUUCCCGGCUCCCACCCCCAAUCCCACCACCCAUCCUGGAAAACAGGCGCGGCGGCCGAGACCAUCGGAAUGAAAUCAUUACAAAAUAGAAGAUAUAUACACAGCAGACGAGGAAAUCCGGGUCCCGAUGCCCUCGAUCCCUUCCCUGCCCCGCAUCGCCCGUGACGAGCUCGUUAUCUCGCGGCCUCUCCCGUCCCGACCCAGUGCCACCCUCAGGAGCAUCAGCGACACGCAAAUCCGGGUGACACAAGGGAUUUGGGGAGGAGAUUUGGACGCAGCUCCCAUUUUUUCAGGGCACCAUGACAUGGACGAAAACAUGGGGAGAAAAGAGGUCGGGGCUAAAAAUAACCGUGUGAGUCACGGCCGGCACGGGGAGUGUUGUGCUGACAGAGCCAGAGCUGAAUGCAUGGGAAGAGAAGAGGAAAAAACCCAUUUUCCCUUUGGCUUCACACGUUCAUGCAUGAAGAUCCCUAGUCCGACAGCAAGAAGAAAGAAAAAGGGGAAUAUAUUGCUAUUAUUAUAUAUAAAUAUAAUAUUAAAUAUACAAAUAAUCCUGCUUUCCCCAUUCCAUGAAAUUGCCUUGGAUUUCCCAAAGAACCCUUAAAACAGCCAAAACAGCAGAAAAGGGGGAUUUCCCCCCAUCUUCCAUGAUAUUAUGAUGAAUUAAUUCCCAUUUGCCCAUUAUUUUCCCCUUGAGGAGCUAUUUCUGAAGCUGAAGACUGUUACUGACAAUAAUUAAUCCGUAAUUAGAAUAAGCAGAUAAUAGCCACUCCAAUGACUUCAUUUACAGGGAUAUUCCCUUUCUUAAAAAAAUUUUGGAUUAAUUAUUUGAUUUUAUUUCAUCCCAUUGCCGUGAUGUGGGCGAUGCCAUGGGGGAUUAUUUUGGGGAGAGUUUUUGAAGUUUUGUGGUCCAGUCACUGGGAUUUUCUCCACCUGGGGAGGAAAGGGGUGGAGGAGGGAGAACAGAAAGGCGGAAUAGGGAGAAAAAAAAUAGAUGGAUUACAAAGAAAAAGGGUAGAAUAUGGAGAAAACUGGUGGAAUAAGAAGAAAAGCCAGAACAGCGAGAAAAAGGUGGAACUGCGAGAAAAAAAAGUGAGGCGGGGGAAAAAAGGUGGAAUAGGGAGAAAAAUGGGAGGAUUAGAGACAAAAAAGGGUGAAACAGAGAGUAAAAAAAAAAGGUGGGACUGAGAAAAAAGGUUGGAUUGGAGAGAAUAAAGGCGGAAUAGGUGCAAUAGGGAGAAAAUGGGUGGAACGCGGUGAAAAUAGGUUGGAAGAGAGAGAAAAAAGGUGGAACACGGUGCUGGGGGGGGAGGUUUGAGAAUGGAUUAGAGAGAAAAAGGACGGGAAAAGGCCGUUUGUCCGUGUUUCUGCCACUCCCGGCACGUCCCCAAGGUCCCAGCGGU